UGCUCUUGCCGUGCUGGAGCUGAGGAGCGGUGCGGAGGAGCUGCACACCGCACUCCAACCUGUCCCCGCAGAACCAUAUUCGCCCUGCAGCUGACAGGACGUGCCGGGCGUGGGUAAAGAAAUGUGGCUUUCAGGGACUUUUCUGCCCUCUUGACUGAGGAAAACACGGACUAUAAAGGUGGCAGUGCCUUCCUGUCCCUCUCUCAAGACCUUACAUUAAGGAGGCAGCAAAACACGUUCUUGUUUGUUACUUGUUGCAGGUGGAAAAGGGACAGAAAACGGAUGGAAGUGGCAAUAAAAGUGCUCAUCCAGUUUCUGACAAAAGCAUCUUGAAGUUCCAUUCAACUCUGUAUUGUAAUUCUUUUCAUUUUUUGUGUUUUGUGCUUGUCUAGCUGCUCACUGCUAUGAGGUCCUUGAGCAGUUUUCUUCAUAAUCCUUUCUUCAUUGCAUCUCUGUGCAUUGUCAGCAGGCUUUGUUCCCCACCAUCCUUUUCCAGGUACCUUAAGAAAAGCUGAAUGAAACAAGUCCUUUUAACUUCUGGAACUCCACAGGAGAUGUGCAGCCUUAGAAGACACAGAACAGAACCACAGCCACACACAGAGUUCUGCAUGAGUUGCCUUGCCCAGUAAUUCCUCUGGGCUCUGAGACCCUGGACUAGAUCUGUCAAAGCAGGAGCCAAUAUAGUCUCCCCUUCCUUAGGAGCAAGUGUGCUAAAAAACAGACUCUACUGAAGAGUGCUGUCAUCCCUUGGAUGGAUUUUUGACUUCCAAUUUAAUCCUGCCAUCAAAAUCUGAAUGAUACACAGGACUAGUGGGGAUGGUAUACCAUGAGAAGGCAAGGAUCUUGUCUGAUGUGUCCUAUUGAAAGCAG